rnacentral:rRNA from 1 species
AUCAGCAGCCGCGGUAAUACAGGGGGAGCAAGCGUUAUCCGGAAUGAUUGGGCGUAAAGCGUCUGUAGGUGGUUUCAAAAGUCUACUGUCAAAUAAGUUGGCUCAACCAGCAUAGGGCAGUGGAGUACUAUGAAACUAGAGUGCGGUAGAGGUAGAGGGAAUUCCUAGCGUAACAGUGAAAUGUGUAGAUUUUAGGGAGAACACCAGCGGCGAAGGCGCUCUACUGGGCCGUGACUGACACUGAGAGACGAAAGCUAAGGGAGAGAAAAGGAUUAGAUACCCUUGUAUUCUUAGCUGUAAACGAUGGAAACUAAGUGGGGGCUGCAAAGCCGCCCCUGCUGUAGCUAACGCGUUAAGUUUCCCGCCUGAUUGUAGGCUGCAACUCGCCUACAUGAAGCCGGAAUCGCUAGUAAUCGCCAGUCAGCCA